rnacentral:lncRNA from 1 species
GAUAACGUGCAGAAGAGCAGAGAUGCAGUAAUGGAGGGAGAUGAUGCCACUCAGCGUGUUCAAGCUCAAUUUAUGCAGCACAACGAGCAGAUAACGUGCAGAGAAGCAUAGAUGAAGAAAACCAUUCUCAAAGAUGCAGUUAUGGUGCAAGACGAUGCUACUGUGUUCAAGCUCAACAUUUAUGGAGCUCAACGACGAGUAGAUAACGUACAGAAGAGCAGAGAUGCAGUAAUGGAGCAAGAUGGUG